rnacentral:rRNA from 2 species
AGGUUAAGUUAACAAGGGCGCAUGGUGAAUGCCUUGGCACUAGGAGCCGAUGAAGGACGGGACUAACACCGAUAUGCUUCGGGGAGCUGUACGUAAGCUAUGAUCCGGAGAUUUCCGAAUGGGGCAACCCAGCAGUUUUAAUCAACUGUUACCACUAGAUGAAUUCAUAGUCUAGUUGGAGGUAAACGCUGUGAACUGAAACAUCUCAUUAGCAGCAGGAAUAUAAAGAAAUUUCGAUUCCCUAAGUAGCGGCGAGCGAACGGGGAACAGCCCAAACCAAAGUGCUUGCACUUUGGGGUUGUAGGACUGAACAUUUGAGUUACCAAAGAACUUGAUAGUCGAAGGAUUUGGGAAAAUCCGCCAUAGAUGGUGAUAGCCCAGUAGAUUAAAUCAAAUUCUCUCAGUUCAGGAUCCUGAGUACGGCGGAACACGUGAAAUUCCGUCGGAAUCCGGGAGGACCAUCUCCCAAGGCUAAAUACUACCUAGUGACCGAUAGUGAACCAGUACCGUGAGGGAAAGGUGAAAAGCACCCCGGGAGGGGAGUGAAAUAGUUCCUGAAACCAUGUGCCUACAAUAAGUCAGAGCGCGUUAAUGCGUGAUGGCGUGCCUUUUGUAGAAUGAACCGGCGAGUUAUGAUCCCGUGCAAGGUUAAGACUAAAAAGUCGGAGCCGUAGCGAAAGCGAGUCUGAAAUGGGCGUUUUGAGUACGAGGUUAUAGACCCGAAACCAGGUGACCUAUCCAUGUCCAGGUUGAAGGUGCGGUAAAACGCACUGGAGGACCGAACCCGUGUAAGUUGAAAAUUGCUGGGAUGAGGUGUGGAUAGCGGUGAAAUUCCAAACGAACUUGGAGAUAGCUGGUUCUCUCCGAAAUAGCUUUAGGGCUAGCCUCGGAAUUAGGAUCAUGGAGGUAGAGCACUAUUUGGACUAGGGGCCCGUCUUGGGUUACUGAAUUCAGAUAAACUCCGAAUGCCAUUGAUUCAUAUCCGGGAGUCAGACGAUGAGUGAUAAGAUCCACCGUCGAAAGGGGAACAGCCCAGACCAUCAGUUAAGGUCCCUAAAUGUAUGCUAAGUGGAAAAGGAUGUGGAGUUGCAUAGACAACUAGGAUGUUGGCUCAGAAGCAGCCACCAUUUAAAGAGUGCGUAAUAGCUCACUAGUCGAGUGAUCCUGCGCCGAAAAUGUACCGGGGCUAAGCAUACUACCGAAACCAUGGAUGCGACCAUUAGGUCGCGUGAUAGGAGAGCGUUCUAAGGGCGGUGAAGCAAGAUCGUGAGGACUUGUGGAGCGCUUAGAAGUGAGAAUGCCGGUAUGAGUAGCGAAAGAUAGGUGAGAAUCCUAUCCACCGAAUGACUAAGGUUUCCUGGGGAAGGCUCGUCCUCCCAGGGUUAGUCGGGACCUAAGUCGAGGCCGAGAGGCGUAGACGAUGGAUAACAGGUUGAGAUUCCUGUACUAGUUAAGUGCGUUUGAGCAAUGGAGGGACGCAGGAGGCUAAGAUGUGCAUUCUGUUGGAUUAGAAUGUCCAAGCAGUAAGUCUUGUGAAGAGUCAAAUGCUUUUCACUUUAAGGACAAGCUGUGAUGGGGAGCGAAAUUUAGUAGCGAAGCGUCUGAUGUCACACUGCCAAGAAAAGCUUCUAGUGAGUACUUAACUACCCGUACCGCAAACCGACACAGGUAGUCGAGGAGAGAAUCCUAAGGUGAGCGAGUGAACUCUCGUUAAGGAACUCGGCAAAAUGACCCCGUAACUUCGGGAGAAGGGGUGCUGAUCGCAAGAUCAGCCGCAGUGAAUAGGCCCAGGCGACUGUUUAUCAAAAACACAGGUCUCUGCAAAAUCGUAAGAUGACGUAUAGGGGCUGACGCCUGCCCGGUGCUGGAAGGUUAAAAGGAUGGGUUAGCUUCGGCGAAGCUCAGAAUUGAAGCCCCAGUAAACGGCGGCCGUAACUAUAACGGUCCUAAGGUAGCGAAAUUCCUUGUCGGGUAAGUUCCGACCCGCACGAAAGGCGUAACGAUCUGGGCACUGUCUCAACGAGAGACUCGGUGAAAUUAUAUUGUCCGUGAAGAUGCGGACUACCCGCGACAGGACGGAAAGACCCCAUGGAGCUUUACUGUAGCUUGAUAUUGAGUGUUUGUACAGCUUGUACAGGAUAGGUAGGAGCCAUAGAAACCGGAACGCUAGUUUCGGUGGAGGCGUUGGUGGGAUACUACCCUCGCUGUAUGACCACUCUAACCCGCACCACUAAUCGUGGUGGGAGACAGUGUCAGGUGGGCAGUUUGACUGGGGCGGUCGCCUCCUAAAAAGUAACGGAGGCGCCCAAAGGUUCCCUCAGAAUGGUUGGAAAUCAUUCGCAGAGUGUAAAGGCACAAGGGAGCUUGACUGCGAGACAGACAGGUCGAGCAGGGACGAAAGUCGGGCUUAGUGAUCCGGUGGUACCGUAUGGAAGGGCCAUCGCUCAACGGAUAAAAGCUACCCUGGGGAUAACAGGCUUAUCUCCCCCAAGAGUCCACAUCGACGGGGAGGUUUGGCACCUCGAUGUCGGCUCAUCGCAUCCUGGGGCUGUAGUCGGUCCCAAGGGUUGGGCUGUUCGCCCAUUAAAGCGGUACGCGAGCUGGGUUCAGAACGUCGUGAGACAGUUCGGUCCCUAUCCGUCGCGGGCGUAGGAAAUUUGAGAGGACCUGUCCUUAGUACGAGAGGACCGGGAUGGACAUACCUCUGGUGUACCAGUUGUGCCGCCAGGCGCAUCGCUGGGUAGCUACGUAUGGAUGUGAUAAACGCUGAAAGCAUCUAAGUGUGAAACACACCUCGAGAUGAGAUUUCCCAUUCCUUUAUGGAAGUAAGACCCCUGAAAGAUGAUCAGGUAGAUAGGUUAGAAGUGGCAGUGCGGUGACGCAUGAAGCGGACUAAUACUAAUCGGUCGAGGACUUAACCAAG